rnacentral:rRNA from 1 species
AGUAAAUUGGUUAAGUUAGAAAGGGCGCACGGUGGAUGCCUUGGCACUAGGAGCCGAAGAAGGACGGGACUAACACCGAUAUGCUUUGGGGAGCUGUACGUAAGCGUUGAUCCAGAGAUUUCCGAAUGGGGGAACCCACUAUCUUUAGUCGGAUAGUAUCCUUACGUGAAUACAUAGCGUGAGGAAGGCAGACCCAGGGAACUGAAACAUCUAAGUACCUGGAGGAAGAGAAAGAAAAAUCGAUUUCCUGAGUAGCGGCGAGCGAAACGGAAAGAGCCCAAACCAAGAAGCUUGCUUCUUGGGGUUGUAGGACACUCUAUACGGAGUUACAAAAGAAAGUUAUAAAUGAAGCGGUCUGGAAAGGCCCGCCAAAGACGGUAACAGCCCGGUAGUUGAAAUGGCUUUCCCUCCAGAGUGGAUCCUGAGUA